rnacentral:lncRNA from 1 species
AACAGUGUUACCACAAGGAACAUCCUCAACUGACUCUUGUUUCUUUCCCAUCCAGAUAACAGUACGCUGAACACUCUUGACAUACAGGUCCUUCUUCUGGCCAGGGACAUAGUUGGGACCCAUGAUCCGAACUUUCAUACCAGUAGCAACCUUCCCUGAGAAGACACGACCAAAGGCAAAGAACCUGCCCUUGUCAGAUGCUGGAAUCAUCUUUGAAACAUACAGCAUAAGAGGACCCUCCGGAUCACAGUUUCUGAUAGCAGUUGCAUAAACAUCAUCAAGGGGUCCCUCAUACAAGUUCUCCACACGAUACUUUUGAGCCUUUGCCGGGGAAGGAAGGUGGAAUAUCAUCAUCUCAAGAAGUGCAGUGCUGGCUGGAAGCCACGUUUGCAUAACACGCUUCAUCAAAGCUUUGCCAAUCAACUCCUUCUCAUCAGCCUUCAUGGUAACAUUAAGCUUUUGCAACAUGGGCCACAAUUUCUCCUUUUGGUCAUUCAUGCAGGUUUUGAUGAUUUGCUUGAUUGGCUCGUAGCAGAACUGAACAAAUCCUCUCUUGCAGGUAGGAGAACCUGUGUUCUUGGUGGUCCAUUUCUUUGUGGCAGGGUCAAAGAAAUUCUCACCCCAUAGCCUCUCCAUCAUCUUAGAUUCAUCAACUCCAAACUUAGAUGCAUACAUCUUCGCA